AUUCAGACUUUCUCAUUAUCUGAUCUCCGGGUUGGUUCAUUCUUUUUCCGUGUAGCUGGCUAUCUAUCACAUUUGACAGAGAGAUUGCUAUGACAAAAUGCUAAAAGCUUUUGCUCUGGGCUAUUUUUAAUCCACUGCAGGUGAAAGAUCAGAACACAUUUUUGGAAGAUUUAUGGGCCAGUGUUGUGCUGGGCAGCAUAAAUGGGAGUUGACAAACUACAGGACACGAGGUUUAAGCCAUUGACCUCUGACAUUAGGAGUCAUCACAACUCCAUACAAAUUGAAUUCCAGAUAGCAAAUUAGAAUGUCACUGUCAUCUCUGUAAGCAAACUUCUGACAAUUUAGCCUAGGCAGAGGGAGAAAAGCAGCAGUGAGCUGAGGUGGAUACUUCUUUAGCAAAAUGCAGGAUUUUAGCAGUGCACAAGGACAGUCCUCUCAUAGCCUGGUCAGAAGCCGAGAUGGGUUACUGGGCUUUGAAUGGCACUUAGCCUCUCUGGACACUGAUGUCAGUUGGAUGUCCUAGAUAUUGCUGUAUUAAAAGCAUAAAGUUAGGCUUAAUGCACGAACAGAGAGACAAGGCAGAGGCAACAGAGACAGAUGUCUCUUCCUCAGAGCCCUUCUACUGGGUGAGACUGUUUCUGAUUACAGCUGUAGCACUGUAAAUGCCUGCUAGAUGUCUGGUGAUAAUCCAUUCAAAGCAAUUACAAGGCAUCCGUCACCAGCAGGGUCUGAGCCACAGGCUUCUUAUCUGGGAAAAUUGAUGGAAGAGAAGGGGGGAGUGAGGGAAGAAAUCAAUGCCUUUCACCAAUGUUAUCUGCCAAAUUGAAUUAAGCAGCACGGGAUCCCUGCUUUACACACUGCAAGAGCUGGAGGUUGAAGAGUCUGUUUGUAGUAAGCUUGAGUUCAUGGGCAAGGCAGGUAGGAGCUGAGUGUUGGUUCUACUCACUGGCAAUUUCUUGGGCACCUACUGAUGUCAGUGGAACUCGUGUGUGCAAAACGAGUUCAGAACUUAGCAGCACCCAGAGCCGUUAACCUGGUAGCACCACUUGUGACUCUUGUGUCUGCUUAUGGUCUUAAUGUAUCGUCUCAUGUUCUUUUACUUUUUUUCUGGGUGUAGCCAAGAGUAUCUCGUUGCUUGCCACAUCCGAGUUUAUACAGGCAAGGGUUGUAGAGAAAGCAACAGCAAAGAUACACGAAUGGGUUCCUCGGAGACAGUGCUAGCAAAACUAGUGUUUAGAGGUGGUGCAUGUGUU